AAUAGCUAUAAUUCUGGACCUUCUGGAGGGAAUGCCGGAAGCUUUGAUAACAAUAAAGUUGGCGACCAUAGCUUCAAUGACAAUGGCAACAGUGCUAAUGGACCCGAAAUCUGGUACUAAAAACCUACUACCAUGCCAGAUGAUCUCCGCCCAGACUUUUCAUCAAGGAUAUCAUUGCUGACUCAAAUUAUUCUUUUUACUUGGUAUUGAACAUUUCGCUGGUCCUGACUGUACAGAAGCUUCUUCUUGCAAAUAAAGAAA